CUGUAGCGCAAUGGAUAGCGCGUUGAACUUCUAAUCCGAAGGUAGUGGGCUCGCAUCCCAUCUGAUAGG